CAAAGAGGAAGCUUUUCGCAGCUUGGCUUUAUCCUGGGGACGCCAUGGAGCUGCUUCCUCUUCUUCUUGCCUGCUCCCUCCUGUUCACGGCCGCAGCUCCUGCCCGGGACAUCACCAGCGUCUGCGCCUCCCAAAUCAGGGAUGGACCGAUUAGUUCGAUUGUUUCACGGUGGUAGUGUUAAGGAAAAUGGAGAGUUUGACAAUAUGAUGGAGGAUGUCGAACUAUUUGAUAAUCCUCCGUCGUUCAAAGAUUUGGUAGACCGUGUUGUUUCAAAGCAUUGUUGUGAACCAUGUGAAAUUUUUUUGAGGGGCAGAUUUGACUAUGGUAAAGCUAGAUCACAUUAUGUAUUGAUGAAAUUGGAAUCGAAGACGCAUUGGAGGCAGUAUAAGGAUAUAGUUGACCAUACAAAUGUGGUUUGCUAGGAGGUGGUUGUUGAAAUAACUCGUAGAACUAGAUCACAGGGCCCAUUUGAUAGAGUAGAUGAAAUUUCAAUUUGUAUUGAUAGUCUGACUCAAGGGUCUACUGUUUGUGAAGAUGUACCAAAUGUGGAUUCUACGCUUUGUGCUUCUGAUUUUGAUAAGGCCGUCGCUUCCGAUGAUUUUGACGAUGGUACCUUUGAGGAGGAGGAGGCGGUGGAAGCGGAGCAUGAAGAUGAUGAUAUUUCUUUGGGUUCAGAGGACAAUGAUUACGAUAGUAGUGAUGAUGAGGAUGAUGAUGAAGAGACGGGGGAAGAAGAACCGCAGGGUAAUGUAGUUGGAGCCCAAGUAGAGUAGGAAAAUAAUGAUGGCGCUGGAGAUGAGGCAACUAAUGAGGAAGAACAUGGAGAUGGGGAGUGUAGGGAUGGGUCAAUGGGUAGGGCUGGUAAUAAAGAUGAUGCACGAUUUUGUUACACCGCCAAAGAGUUGCGCAUGUUGAAGCUAGCCAAUGUUGAAGUUCUAGCGGUUUCAAAGGAAAAGGACCUUAGCAGGAUCCAUAGAGCCAUUUGUGACUCAAAUAUAUUUAAAAGUGAGUGUGUAAUUGACAGUGACAGUCUAGAGAUUCAUAAGGGCAUGAAGUUCAAUUCCCUUCAGGAGUUACAGUUUUUUUGGCAGAUUAUGCAGUGUGUCACCAUCAGCCAUUUAAUGUGGUUCAUUCGGACAAGAGAGUACGCUACGACGUGCUAUGCAAGCAGGGUUGUCUCUGGGGUGUUUGGGCUCGAAUUGUUAGGGGCAUGGGUCAGUGGAGGAUCACCAAUGUAAGGCAGCCUCACACUUGCUCAUCCUCGAAACCGAAGCAAGUUCAUGCACAGUGCACCGCACGUUAUCUUGCCCACCGGAUACUUGGUAUUGUUCAGAAAGAUAGUGACACAUCGGUUCCUUCUCUUAUGGAGUCGAUUUUUGCCUUUAGUUGUUACAGGGUAAAGUACUCGAAGGCAUGGCAUGCGAAACAGCAGUCUCCUUCGCUAGAACUCCUUCGCGUUCACUACGGUCAGGCGACCGCUAGAACUCCUUCGUGUUCGACAUCAAGGACGGGGUCACGUGCCGGUUCUAGGGGCAAAGCUAUACAGUCUCCACAACACACGGACGACUCCGACGCGCAAAGCGACUCAAGAGAUGAAGACCCGGACUUUGAGGUUCUUCGGAUGUCACAGAUGUUCGAUGCUCCUCCAAGCACAUAGACUCAGGGCGAAUCAAGCCAGGCGCUGCAAACUCCAGCACCUCCACGCCGUGCAUGUGACCGAACCGAUGUUGGUAGCGCCAAUGUCUUGCCCACGGAGCCUGGACACGCACGCCGGCGUAACGAGACGUUCAGCCCACAGGAGCAACAUCGUCACCGCCGUUAGAUGCUCGUGAUCGUCUAUGUGUGCGUGUAUCAUUUCUGUGUGUUGAUCUUAUCAAACCUAGAUACUUAUUUCUGUGUGUGAUGCACUAUUUGUAUGCGUGUUGAACUUGCACUAUCAAACCUAUAAAUUGUGUUGAUCUUGCACUA